rnacentral:rRNA from 1 species
UACGGAGGGUGCAAGCGUUGUUCGGAAUUACUGGGCUUAAAGCGCGUGUAGGCGGGAUGCCAAGUGUCGUGUGAAAGCCCCGGGCUCAACCCGGGAAUUGCGCGGCAAACUGGUGUUCUUGAGGCAAGUAGAGGUGACUGGAACGACCGGUGGAGCGGUGAAAUGCGUAGAUAUCGGUUGGAACGCCGGAGGCGAAAGCGGGUCACUGGGCUUGUCCUGACGCUAAGACGCGAAAGCGUGGGGAGCAAAC